GACAGAGGGUGCAAGCGUUGUCCGGAAUUAUUGGGCGUAAAACGUCUGUAGGCGGUUCUUUAAGUCUAAGGUCAAAUCGCUGAGCUCAACUCAGCUUCGCUUUAGAUACUGAAGAACUAGAGUGCGUUAGGGGUUAUUGGAAUUCCCGGUGUAGUGGUGAAAUACGUAGAUAUCGGGAGGAACUCCAGUGGCGAAAGCGAAUAACUGGGGCGUAACUGACGCUGAGAGACGAAAGCGUGGGGAGCAAAAAGG
rnacentral:rRNA from 1 species